rnacentral:rRNA from 1 species
GAUGAACGCUGGCGGCGUGCCUAACACAUGCAAGUCGAACGGAGUCCAGCCUUUAAGACCUUCGGGUCAAAGAGGGGAAGACUGAGUGGCGGACGGGUGAGUAACACGUGGGCAACCUGGCUCAUAGAGGGGGGUAACAGAGAGAAAUUUCUGCUAAUACCGCAUAAGCACACACUGCCGCAUGGCAGAGGGUGAAAAGAGAAUCGCUAUGAGAUGGACCCGCGUCUGAUUAGCCAGUUGGCAGGGUAAGAGCCUACCAAAGCGACGAUCAGUAGCCGAUCUGAGAGGAUGAACGGCCACAUUGGGACUGAGACACGGCCCAAACUCCUACGGGAGGCAGCAGUGGGGGAUAUUGCACAAUGGGGGGAACCCUGAUGCAGCGACGCCGCGUGAGUGAAGAAGUAUUUCGGUAUGUAAAGCUCUAUCAGCAGGGAAGAUAAUGACAGUACCUGAAUAAGAAGCCCCGGCUAACUACGUG